GCUGCAAAGGAUUCGAAACCAUAUGUAAGCCGAUCUCUGGCAGGACACACACAAAACACACAGAAGCGACGAUAAAACAAAAGCAAACAAAACUCAAACAAUGACAAACAGAGCAAAGCAAAACAAACACUAGACAUUUAAAGGAAAGUAUAAAAGAAAAGCCAUUUUACGCGUGUCGAGUCAGAGAGUUUAAAUAGGCCGCCACAUUCGUGCUAUUUCCCUCCAUUUGGUUGCUCUCUCGCUGCUUGCUGUUCCAAUGGAAAAUGAAUGAAUGAAUGGUUAACGAAAAAAUAAUCAACGAAAAAUCAAAGAAGAAUCCAAACUACUGCGAGGAUGCCGCCCCAGAGGAUGGAGAAACCAGUGUUUGAAAAGUAACAGUAGGAGCAGGAAAUAUUUUAAAGGACUUCUAAUAUUUUGAGAACAACGAAAAUUAAUGUAAGUUUUCAAACACUGAUGGAAACUACUGGUUGGACGGCACAUGGCUCCACAUGGGGCUCCAGCAAAGAUGCAAAAUUCUCCGAUUUUUUUGCUUUAAUGUACAUAAAUAUACUUCACAGUCAAUUAGCUCUGGAGA